rnacentral:rRNA from 1 species
AGAGUUUGAUCCUGGCUCAGGAUGAACGCUGGCGGCGUGCCUAAUACAUGCAAGUCGAGCGAACGGACGAGAAGCUUGCUUCUCUGAUGUUAGCGGCGGACGGGUGAGUAACACGUGGAUAACCUACCUAUAAGACUGGGAUAACUUCGGGAAACCGGAGCUAAUACCGGAUAAUAUUUUGAACCGCAUGGUUCAAAAGUGAAAGACGGUCUUGCUGUCACUUAUAGAUGGAUCCGCGCUGCAUUAGCUAGUUGGUAAGGUAACGGCUUACCAAGGCAACGAUGCAUAGCCGACCUGAGAGGGUGAUCGGCCACACUGGAACUGAGACACGGUCCAGACUCCUACGGGAGGCAGCAGUAGGGAAUCUUCCGCAAUGGGCGAAAGCCUGACGGAGCAACGCCGCGUGAGUGAUGAAGGUCUUCGGAUCGUAAAACUCUGUUAUUAGGGAAGMACMUAUUUGUGGUARGUAACUGUGGCACCAUUCUUGACGGUACCUUAAUCAGRAAGSCAACGGCUAACUACGUGCCAGCAGCCGCGGUAAUACGUAGGUGGCAAGCGUUAUCCGGAAUUAUUGGGCGUAAAGCGCGCGUAGGCGGUUUUUUAAGUCUGAUGUGAAAGCCCACGGCUCAACCGUGGAGGGUCAUUGGAAACUGGAAAACUUGAGUGCAGAAGAGGAAAGUGGAWUUCCAUGUGUAGCGGUGAAAUGCGCAGAGAUAUGGAGGAACACCAGUGGCGAAGGCGACUUUCUGGUCUGUAACUGACGCUGAUGUGCGAAAGCGUGGGGAUCAAACAGGAUUAGAUACCCUGGUAGUCCACGCCGUAAACGAUGAGUGCUAAGUGUUAGGGGGUUUCCGCCCCUUAGUGCUGCAGCUAACGCAUUAAGCACUCCGCCUGGGGAGUACGACCGCAAGGUUGAAACUCAAAGGAAUUGACGGGGACCCGCACAAGCGGUGGAGCAUGUGGUUUAAUUCGAAGCAACGCGAAGAACCUUACCAAAUCCUUGACAUCCUUUGACAACUCCUAGAAGAWAGAGCUUUCCCCYUCSGGGGACAAAGUGACAGGUGGGUGCAUGGUUGUCCGUCCAGCCUCGUGUCCGKGAGAGAUGUUUGGGGUUAAGUCCCGCAACGAGCGCAACCCUUAAGCUUAGUUGCCAUCAUUAAGUUGGGCACUCUAAGUUGACUGCCGGUGACAAACCGGAGGAAGGUGGGGAUGACGUCAAAUCAUCAUGCCCCUUAUGAUUUGGGCUACACACGUGCUACAAUGGACAAUACAAAGGGCAGCGAAACCGCGAGGUCAAGCAAAUCCCAUAAAGUUGUUCUCAGUUCGGAUUGUAGUCUGCAACUCGACUACAUGAAGCUGGAAUCGCUAGUAAUCGUAGAUCAGCAUGCUACGGUGAAUACGUUCCCGGGUCUUGUACACACCGCCCGUCACACCACGAGAGUUUGUAACACCCGAAGCCGGUGGAGUAACCUUUUAGGAGCUAGCCGUCGAAGGUGGGACAAAUGAUUGGGGUGAAGUCGUAACAAGGUAGCC